UACGAAGGGGGCUAGCGUUGCUCGGAAUCACUGGGCGUAAAGGGUGCGUAGGCGGGUCUUUAAGUCAGGGGUGAAAUCCUGGAGCUCAACUCCAGAACUGCCUUUGAUACUGAAGAUCUUGAGUUCGGGAGAGGUGAGUGGAACUGCGAGUGUAGAGGUGAAAUUCGUAGAUAUUCGCAAGAACACCAGUGGCGAAGGCGGCUCACUGGCUCGAUACUGACGCUGAGGUGCGAAGGCGUGGGGAGCGAACGGG
rnacentral:rRNA from 1 species